UUCCCUCGGAGGGGAUGACAACAUCCCUGUGUCUCUUGCCUGUCCUUGUGGUGGCCAAGAUCCAAUUGGGGAAUAGAUUU
ensembl:snoRNA predicted gene, 23663